UUCGUAGGUGACCUGCGGAAGGAUCAUUACUGAAUUGUCAACAAGAGUUGUUGCUGGUCCCCAGAUGGGGGCACGUGCACGCUCUGUUAACACAUCCACUCACACCCUGUGCACCCUCUGCARUUCUAUGGUUGGGGGGGACCUGUCCUCUCCUGCUGUGGUUCUGCAUCUUUACAUACACACUGUAACAAAGUCUCAUGGAAUGCAUGCCGCGUUUAACGCAAUAAAAUACAACUUUCAGCAACGGAUCUCUUGGCUCUCGCAUCGAUGAAGAACGCAGCGAAAUGCGAUAAGUAAUGUGAAUUGCAGAAUUCAGUGAAUCAUCGAAUCUUUGAACGCACCUUGCGCCCUUUGGCAUUCCGAAGGGCAUGCCUGUUUGAGUAUCAUGAACACCUCAACUCUUCAUGGUUUUCCGUGAUGAGCUUGGACUUUGGGGGUCUUGCUGGCCUGCAGGUCAGCUCCUCUCAAACGAAUCAGCUUGCCAGUGUUUGGUGGGCAUCACAGGUGUGAUAACUAUCUACGCUUGUGAUUUUCCACCAGGUAACCUUCAGCAAUGGAGGUUCGCUGGAGCUCACAGACGU
rnacentral:rRNA from 1 species